CUUUCGAUAGCUCAGUUGGUAGAGCGGAGGACUGUAGAGGUUCUAUAUGGAUAUCCUUAGGUUGCUGGUUCAAAUCCGGUUCGAAGGA
rnacentral:tRNA from 1 species